rnacentral:tRNA from 1 species
GCCGGUGUGGUGGAAUUGGCAGACACACACGCCUCAAGAGCGUGCGCCUAACGGCAUGUCGGUUCGACUCCGACCACCGGCACCA